AGUGAACGCUGGCGGUAGGCCUAACACAUGCAAGUCGAACGGCAGCACAGUAAGAGCUUGCUCUUACGGGUGGCGAGUGGCGGACGGGUGAGGAAUACAUCGGAAUCUACUUUUUCGUGGGGGAUAACGUAGGGAAACUUACGCUAAUGCCGCAUACGACCUACGGGUGAAAGCAGGGGAUCUUCGGACCCUGCGCGAUUGAAUGAGCCGAUGUCGGAUUAGCUAGUUGGCGGGGUAAAGGCCCACCAAGGCGACGAUCCGUAGCCGGUCUGAGAGGAUGAUCAGCCACACUGGAACUGAGACACGGUCCAGAAUCCUGAGGGAGGCAGCAGUAGGGAAUAUUGGACAAUGGGCGAAAGCCUGAUCCAGCCAUCCCGCGUGGGUGAAGAAGGCCUUCGGGUUGUAAAACCCUUUUGUUGGGAAAGAAAAGCAGCAGGAUAAUACCCCGCUGUUCUGACGGUACCCAAAGAAUAAGCACCGGCUAACUUCGUG
rnacentral:rRNA from 1 species